rnacentral:rRNA from 1 species
UUAAAAAGAUAAUUUUAAAUAAUUUAAUUUGAAAUUUAAUUAUUAUUGUUAUUAUUAAUUUUAUAUUAAGUUUAAAGAAAUAUUUUUUUUUUAUUAAUUAUAUCAGAAAAAAUUUAUUUAAUUAUAGUUUAUAGUAUUGUGAAAGAAUAAAUUAUUUUAUUAAAAAGAAAAUUUUAUUUUUUGUACCUUGUGUAUCAGGGUUUAUUAAUAUAAAAUUAAAAAUUUAAUAUUCUCGAAUUUAAAAGAGCUAAAAAUUUAUUAUUUUUAUUAUAGAAUAAAUAUUUUAAAUAAAUUUUUAGUAAUGAAAUGUUAUUCGUUUUUAAAUAUAUCUAGUUUUUUAAGAAAUAAAUUUAAUUUAGUUAUUAAUAAUAUAUUUUUAAUUUUUUAAAAUUAUAUUGUUAAUAAUAAAUGUAUGUAGGGAUGAGCUUAUAUAUUAAAAAUUAUUAAAUAAUAAGAAAUUAAAAAAUUUUAGGAUUAGAAAUUUUCAAAAUUAAAGUAUGUUAUAAUUAAUUUUAUAUAUUUAUAAUUUUUAUUUUUUAUAAAUUAUUUAUUAAAAUAUAAUUAAAAAUUUUAUAUAAUUAGAAAUAAUGAUAGAAUUAGUAUAAUUUUAUAUAUAAAUAAUUAUAUAAUUAAGGUUAAUUAAAGGAAUUCGGCAAAUUAUUUUCCACCUGUUUAUUAAAAACAUGGCCUUUUGUAAAUAAUUUAAGGUCUAACCUGCCCACUGAAGUUUUAAAGGGCCGCGGUAUUUUGACCGUGCUAAGGUAGCAUAAUCAUUAGUUUUUUAAUUGAAAGCUAGAAUGAAGGGUUGAAUGAGAAAAUUACUGUCUUUAAAUAAUUUAAUUAGAAUUUUAUUUUUAAGUUAAAAAGCUUAAAUUUUUUUAAAAGACGAGAAGACCCUAUAGAGUUUAAUAUAAAUUUUUAUAUUAAAAUUUAGAAUUUAUUUUUUUUAUUUAAAAUUGUAUUUAAUUGGGGUGAUUAAAAAAUUUAUUAAACUUUUUUUUUAUUUUUAUAUUAAUUAAUAAAUAUAUGAUCCAAUUUUUUUUGAUUAUAAGAUUAAAUUACCUUAGGGAUAACAGCGUAAUUUUAUUAGAGAGUUCUAAUCGAUAAUAAAGAUUGCGACCUCGAUGUUGGAUUAAAAUUUAUAUUUGGUGUAGAAGCUGAAUUAUUAAGUCUGUUCGACUUUUAGAAUUUUACAUGAUCUGAGUUUAAACCGGUGUAAGCCAGGUUGGUUUCUAUCUUUAAAUAAUUAAUAUAUUUUAGUACGAAAGGACCAAAUAU